CCUACGGGAGGCAGCAGGGAGGAAUAGUGGUCAAUGGUCGGGAGACUGAACCAGCCAAGCCGCGGGAGGGAGGAAGGUACAGAGUAUUGUAAACCUCUUUUGUCAGGGAACAAAGGCGGGGACGUGUCCCCUGCUGCGUGUACCUCAAGAAAAAGCAUCGGCUAACUCCGUGCCAGCAGCCGCGGUAAUACGGAGGAUGCGAGCGUUAUCCGGAUUUAUUGGGGUUAAAGGGUGCGCAGGCGGUCUGUUAAGUCAGCGGUGAAAGCCCGGGGCUCAACCCCGGCCCCGCCGUGAAUACUGGCAGUCUCGAGUUGGAGAGAGGUAGGCGGAAUGCGCGGUGUAGCGGUGAAAUGCAUAGAUAUCGCGCAGAACUCCGAUUGCGAAGGCAGCAUGCCGGAUCUAAACUGACGCUGAGGCACGAAAGCGUGGGUAUCGAACAGGAUUAGAUACCCGAGUAGUC
rnacentral:rRNA from 1 species